rnacentral:rRNA from 1 species
UGAGUAACGCGUGGAUAAUCUACCCUUAAGAUGGGGAUAACGGCUGGAAACGGUCGCUAAUACCGAAUACGCUCCCGAUUUUAUCAUUGGGGGGAAAGAUGGCCUCUGCUUGCAAGCUAUCGCUUAAGGAUGAGUCCGCGUCCCAUUAGCUAGUUGGCGGGGUAACGGCCCACCAAGGCAACGAUGGGUAGCCGGUCUGAGAGGAUGACCGGCCACACUGGAACUGGAACACGGUCCAG